ACGAACGUUGGCGGCGUGGAUUAGGCAUGCAAGUCGAACGAGAACCGGUGCUGUAGCAAUACAGUGCCGGGGAAAGUGGCGAAAGGGGCAGUAAGGCGUGGGUAACCUACCCCGGGGACGGGGAUAGCUACGGGAAACUGUAGGUAAUACCUGGCGAUUUGGUUGGAUGGCAUCAUCCGACUAAGAAAUGAAUUUCGCCUCGGGAGGGGCUCACGUAGUAUUAGCUUGUUGGUGAGGUAAUGGCUCACCAAGGCAAAGAUGCUUAGCGGGUGUGAGAGCACGACCCGCGCCACUGGCACUGAGACACUGGCCAGACACCUACGGGUGGCUGCAGUCGAGGAUCUUCCGCAAUGGGCNCAAGCCUGACGGAGCGACGCCGCGUGUGCGAUGAAGGCC
rnacentral:rRNA from 1 species